rnacentral:rRNA from 1 species
CCCUUAGACGUUCUGGGCCGCACGCGCGCUACACUGACCAGUGCAACAAGCAUCCGUCCUUGGCCGACAGGCCCGGGCAAUCUUUGAACGCUGGUCGUGAUGGGGAUAGACUUUUGCAAUUUUUGGUCUUCAACGAGGAAUUCCUAGUAAACGCAAGUCAUCAACUUGCAUUGAUUACGUCCCUGUCCUUUGUACACACCGCCCGUCGCACCUACCGAUUGAAUGGUCCGGUGAAGCCUCCGGAUUGGCGCGCACCUCGGUGCCGCCGAGAAGUUGGCUAAACCUUACCAUUUAGAGGAAGGUGAAGUCGUAACA